UACGAAGGGUGCAAGCGUUAAUCGGAAUUAUUGGGCGUAAAGAGCUCGUAGGCGGUUUGUCGCGUCUGCUGUGAAAACUCGGGGCUUAACUCCGGGCCUGCAGUGGGUACGGGCAGACUAGAGUGCGGUAGGGGAGACUGGAAUUCCUGGUGUAGCGGUGAAAUGCGCAGAUAUCAGGAGGAACACCGGUGGCGAAGGCGGGUCUCUGGGCCGAUACUGACGCUGAGGAGCGAAAGCGUGGGGAGCAAACAGG
rnacentral:rRNA from 1 species